AUAUGUGACGGCGUUAACGAUAUUUCUGUUUAGCACGUGCAAUAGGAGUGACUCACACAAGCCAGGUGCGCCGGCCAUGUCGUUCGACUCAUAAACAACAGGUGCAACAGAAGUGACUCAUAAAUAAGCCAGCUGCGCCGGCCAGUAUAAAAAGGCGGUACGUGCCUCGCAAUGAACAUUCGUUGGACUGCGCUUGCCUGGUGCACUUACUAUAUCCUUGUUACGUUGUGUGAUUCAGUGACUGUUGUACGUACUGGUUAAAGUUGGACAAGUGUUAAAGUGAAUUGUUAAGAUAACAUAUUGUUGAUUAAAUCAGGAAUCAAAAGGUGACAUCGUUUUACUUGGUGUUCAACAAGAUAAUAUCUACCCUAAGCUUACAUCAGAAGUGGGAUCAGGACUCUACUCUCACUGGCGUGACGUGUUUGAACAUGUUCGAAGUACAGCAAAAAAAAAACAUGAUGCAGAUCAGAAUACUAGUAGUGGUACGCCACAAGAGCGUGAAUGCAGCAUACGUAAGUCGCGUAAUAACGUCUCUGUUACCUCGAUGGAAGAUCUGAGCCACGAAGAAAUCGUCACAUCUUACGUUCUGGCUCAUGUUGCCCAGUUUGACUGUCGACUUCAUCACAUGGCAUUUACUAACGGAAAUACAACACGUAACAAGCUAUUGCAAGAAAUUAAGGCAAGUGCAAAUCUCAAGUGAAACUUCGAUCGCAAUAAUGGAUCUGUCAUGACGAGUGGGUAGUUCCGACACGAAUCGUUUUUAAGCCAAUGACUACUGCUAGAGUUAGAUGGCACUAGUACAGUAAACCAGGACAUGAGACUGUGAAUUGUCGCUGAAAUUUUAGAAUCUACUCGAUUCAAUACCAAUAACACUACACGUUCGAUGACUUCGGGCUCCAGCAAGCAAGCAAACAAGAAAGCAAGCAAGUUUCCGUGGGGAAGAAAAAUUGACACAUCUGAAGUCGUCGUGACCUGUAAGAUAAGACGUCCGGUGCGUUCGUGCCUGGCGAUGCGGCGGUGUUCGGGUUCCGCUGGCGGAUGCAUGUUUUUCCGGUGAAGUGCGUGCUUGUGCGUGCUUGACAAGUGUUCGCGGUUGGCUUCCUCAGUGUGGGAGUAACAUCGUGUAAGAGAGGUGGAACCCGUAAAAUUGUAGUUUGCGUGGUGGCUGGUAAGAUUUGUUGCGGUAAGAAGUUUGCAUGGUGGUAAAUUGUCUUGUGAGUCUGCACAGGUAGCCGGAGGUGAGUUUCCGCGGUCGCGGCCCACCCAGUCCGCGAGAACCGGGCAGAUCGCCUCGACGGUACGGAGGCCGGCCGACGGGUCCGCCAAACGACGAGAUCACGCCUCCAGCACGGACUGCCGAUAUUGGAGCCCCCGCGCUCCGGCUGCACUUGCGCUAGGGCGCGCCGCCUCGUAGGAGACUGUGAGGUGCUGUGGCAGGUCCAACCAGAGACGUCAACGUGUGUUCCAGAGCUUCAGUGUGUUACAGAUAAGUGGUUUUGGCUCCCCCUUUAUGUUCCAUUCAGGGUCAGAAUGUAGUCUUAUAAAACAAAGCCAUAGUAAUUUAUUCAAUGGUAAGCGGUUUCAUGAACAAGUCACCGUAGUCACCCUAGACACGUCCUUACGGAUCCAUCAGAUCCAAUAACUCUUGCAUUAGAUACCUUCAGCUCUAACACUAGGAGCAGGCUGAGGAACCCCAGUAAUCGUACUCGUCGAACUCGACAAAGAGGUCGACGUGCAACCUAACCCAUGCAUCAGCCCACUGAGUUUCUCGCCGGAUCUUCUCAGUGGGUCGCGAUUCCGAUCCGGUAGUAGAUUCAUUCGCGAAGCAAUUGCUCUUGAGUUGUUAGGUCUCCUGCGGAGGCGCUCGGGCAGUUGUUAGCAAAUCCCACCCCUCUUGGCUGAGCCUUUGCUCGCCCACCCGUCCUGGUGAAGCGGGAAAGGCCUCCGGGCCACCAGUAAUCUUUCAAUCAUCUGCAGUUUUGGAAAACGAUAGGUAUAAGUUGAGACAUGUAAAUGGUUCUAGUGUACAAAGUUCCCCAUGAAAACUUACGCGAAGUACCUCGAGGCCCGUCAGACUACUAGAAAUUUCUGAAAAUUAUAGUGACGAUGACGUGACGGCGUACACAGAUGGGUUAAGUAAUCUUGUUCAUGAAACUGAUCUUAAUGAUGACGACUCUAUCACUGACAAUAGAAGCGACAUUUUUGUCCGCAAAUAACGAUACAGCAAACAUAGUCUGCGGGUAGUGAUACAAUGUCUGUAAGCUCAGGCACCUCAGGUGCAGGUGUUGGAAAUGUAGAAAACGAUGGUCGGUCUCGCACUAUUUCUGAAGAAAUUCCGUAUAAAUGUUCUGGUUUAAGAGAUGUUCUAACAAACGCUACCGUACACGCAGAUAAAAAAAAAAAAAAAGAGAAUUGUAUGUGGCUAGAGAGAUGUUAAUCCGGACUAGCAAAAAAAAAAAAGAGAAAAAAAAAAAAAAAAGUGUGAAGUCAUUGAAGGGUCUGUCCGGUCCAAUGGCUUGGCUAUAGGGAUUUUCAUCCAGAUUAGCCACAACAAUUAGCUACAGGGAUUGCGAUUCGGUCUAGCAUUAUCCGGUCCAGUUCGAAAAACUGAAGGGAUAACAAUUCCGGUCUAAGUUAAAAGGGACAUACUUACAUACCUGAAGAGUUUUAAAUGAACUGGCCCAGGUAUGUAAGCAGUCUGAAGGUUAUUUAUAGCCAGUAUAGGAUUUUCUGAAGAAUUAUGCGAACCGAACCGUACUAGAUUGUUAAUAUCAUAGACCACGUUUUAAGUUGCAUCCGUUAAUGUCAGGAUGAACGAACACGUUUGUUGGUCACAGACAUACCAUAAGAAUGCGCGCACGAGGACGAGCGCACGUCAGUAUGGCCGUGACGGCGUUAACGAUAUUUCUGUUUAGCACGUGCAAUAGGAGUGACUCACACAAGCCAGGUGCGCCGGCCAUGUCGUUCGACUCAUAAACAACAGGUGCAACAGAAGUGACUCAUAAAUAAGCCAGCUGCGCCGGCCAGUAUAAAAAGGCGGUACGUGCCUCGCAAUGAACAUUCGUUGGACUGCGCUUGCCUGGUGCACUUACUAUAUCCUUGUUACGUUGUGUGAUUCAGUGACUGUUGUACGUACUGGUUAAAGUUGGACAAGUGUUAAAGUGAAUUGUUAAGAUAACAUAUUGUUGAUUAAAUCAGGAAUCAAAA